rnacentral:rRNA from 1 species
CCUACGGGGGGCAGCAGUGGGGAAUAUUGCACAAUGGGCGAAAGCCUGAUGCAGCGACGCCGCGUGAGGGAUGACGGCCUUCGGGUUGUAAACCUCUUUCAGUAGGGACGAAGCGAGAGUGACGGUACCUGCAGAAGAAGCACCGGCUAACUACGUGCCAGCAGCCGCGGUAAUACGUAGGGUGCGAGCGUUGUCCGGAAUUAUUGGGCGUAAAGAGCUUGUAGGCGGUUUGUCGCGUCUGCUGUGAAAGACCGGGGCUUAACUCCGGUUCUGCAGUGGGUACGGGCAGGCUAGAGUAUGGUAGGGGAGACUGGAAUUCCUGGUGUAGCGGUGAAAUGCGCAGAUAUCAGGAGGAACACCGAUGGCGAAGGCAGGUCUCUGGGCCAUUACUGACGCUGAGAAGCGAAAGCAUGGGGAGCGAACAGGAUUAGAUACCCCAG